rnacentral:lncRNA from 1 species
GGCCCCUUCGUCUAAGUGUUGUUGUUCGCAUCAAAAGGUGAGAAUGUGAAGAAACUUCUUGUAUAGUUAGUUUUAACUCGUAGCCUUUUUGACUCAAGUCAGUAAGUCUGAGGGGUAUUUUACACCUAAUGCUCUAAAGUCAACUAGUUUGGGAGUCAUUGGCCUAAAGCUCGUUACAAGAGUCAAUUAGAAAGCUUAAUGGGUUA